GGCUAAAGAAGAAAAACGUGACAUCACAGCUAACAGCAUUAGCACCCCACAGAAUUCAACGUGUUUGGAGAGACGUGUGGUGCGCAGGAACAAACAUAUACAACAAUGUGCUGCACUCAGGAGAGGACAACAGUUUGCUUGAGCUGUCAAACAUGUUAGAUAACUUCUGUUGUCACUAUUUAUUUAUCCCAAGACUACAACUAAGUUUUCACACCAUCAGCAGUGGCUGAGAUGACCAUUCACUCAGAACUGAGAGGAAUCUGACACUUAUGGGAGAUGGGAAGCAUCCAGCAUGCUGUGGUAGAACCAGAAAUCACAGAGGGACUCUGCCGGCCUCAUAUUGACAGUGGACUGCUGGAUGACCCACACUGUGGGGUCACUAUUCCUGAAACUGGCAAUGUGUUGAGCCCCGAACAACU